rnacentral:rRNA from 1 species
AUUGAACGCUGGCGGCAGGCUUAACACAUGCAAGUCGAGCGAGCGGCGGACGGGUGAGUAAUGUCUGGGAAACUGCCUGAUGGAGGGGGAUAACUACUGGAAACGGUAGCUAAUACCGCAUACCAUCAGAUGUGCCCAGAUGGGAUUAGCUAGGAGGUGGGGUAAUGGUUCACCUAGGCGACGAUCCCUAGCUGGUCUGAGAGGAUGACCAGCAACACGGGUACUGAGACACGGUCCAAACUCCUACGGGAGGCAGCAUUGGGAAAUAUUGCACAAUGGGCGCAAGCCUGAUGCAGCCAUGCCGCGUGUGUGAAGAAGGCCUUCGGGUUGUAAAGCACUUUCAGCGAGGAGGCGUUACUCACAGAAUAAGCACCGGCUAACUCCGUGCCAGCCGCCGCGGUAAUUC